rnacentral:rRNA from 1 species
UAAAAGUCGUAACAAGGUUUCCGUAGGUGAACCUGCGGAAGGAUCAUUACAGUGCCCGGGGGAGGCUCAGGCCAACCCCACAGGCCCCACACGUGUCUACCGACCCUGUUGCCUCGGCGCGCCCGCUAAGCUAUGGCCGCCGGGGAAACCACAAACAAAUCUUGAAGUGAAUGCAGCCUGAGUAAUUAAACAAAUUAAUUAAAACUUUCAACAACGGAUCUCUUGGUUCCGGCAUCGAUGAAGAACGCAGCGAAAUGCGAUAAGUAAUGUGAAUUGCAGAAUUCAGUGAAUCAUCGAAUCUUUGAACGCACAUUGCGCCCUCUGGCAUUCCGGAGGGCAUGCCUGUCCGAGCGUCAUUGCAACCCUCAAGCGCGGCUUGUGUGUUGGGCGGUCGUCCCCCGGGACGUGCCCUAAAGGCAGUGACGGCAGUCGCGAUCCGGCGCCUGAGUGUAUGGGAAAUCCACCGCUCUAACGGCACGGCCGGCAGCCUGUCCAACCAUUUAUUUAUUUAUCUUGUUGACCUCGGAUCAGGUAGGGAUACCCGCUGAACUUAAGCAUA